rnacentral:rRNA from 1 species
UACGGGGGGAGCAAGCGUUGUUCGGAUUUACUGGGCGUAAAGGGCGCGUAGGCGGUCAGCACAAGUCAGUUGUGAAAUCUCCGGGCUUAACCCGGAAAGGUCAACUGAUACUGUGCGACUAGAGUGCGGAAGGGGCAACUGGAAUUCUCGGUGUAGCGGUGAAAUGCGUAGAUAUCAGGAGGAACACCAAUGGCGAAGGCAGCUCGCUGGAACGGUACUGACGCUGAGGCGCGAAAGCGUGGGGAGCGAACAGG